rnacentral:rRNA from 1 species
UACGAAGGGGGCUAGCGUUGCUCGGAAUCACUGGGCGUAAAGCGCACGUAGGCGGAUCUUUAAGUCAGGGGUGAAAUCCUGGAGCUCAACUCCAGAACUGCCUUUGAUACUGGGGAUCUCGAGUCCGGAAGAGGUGAGUGGAACUCCGAGUGUAGAGGUGAAAUUCGUAGAUAUUCGGAAGAACACCAGUGGCGAAGGCGGCUCACUGGUCCGGUACUGACGCUGAGGUGCGAAAGCGUGGUGAGCAAACAGG